rnacentral:rRNA from 1 species
AGAGUUUGAUCCUGGCUCAGGACGAACGCUGGCGGCGUGCUUAACACAUGCAAGUCAAGGGGAAAGUUUUGCUUCGGCGAGAUGAGUAUACUGGCGGACGGGUGAGUAACGCGUAGGCGACCUGCCCAUGAGAGAGGGAUAACCCAGCGAAAGUUGGACUAGUACCUUAUAAUACUAUUUAAUCGCAUGAUUUUAUAGUCAAAGGGUGCCAAUUUAUUGGUAUUGCUUAUGGAUGGGCCUGCGUUCCAUUAGUUAGUUGGUAAGGUAACGGCUUACCAAGGCGACGAUGGAUAGCUGGUUUGAGAGAGUGAUCAGCCACACUGGGACUGAGAUACGGCCCAGACUCCUACGGGAGGCAGCAGUGAGGAAUAUUGCGCAAUGGGCGAAAGCCUGACGCAGCAACGCCGCGUGGGGGAUGAAGCUUUAUGGAGUGUAAACCCCUGUAAGUAGGGACGAAAGUUACCUAUUCGAAUAGGAUGGGUAUUUGACGGUACCUGCAGAGUAAGCUCCGGCUAACUCCGUGCCAGCAGCCGCGGUAAUACGGGGGGAGCAAGCGUUGUCCGGAAUUACUGGGCGUAAAGGGCGUGUAGGCGGUAUUGUAAGUCAGAUGUAAAAGGCUACGGCUUAACCGUAGAUGGUCAUUUGAAACUGCAGUACUUGAGUGCGAGAGAGGGUAGUGGAAUUCCCAGUGUAGCGGUGAAAUGCGUAGAUAUUGGGAAGAACACCAGUAGCGAAGGCGGCUACCUGGCUCGUAACUGACGCUAAUGCGCGAAAGCGUGGGGAGCGAACAGGAUUAGAUACCCUGGUAGUCCACGCCGUAAACGAUGAACACUAGGUGUUGGUCCCGACGUGUCGGGAUCGGUGCCGCAGCAAACGCAUUAAGUGUUCCGCCUGGGGAGUACGAUCGCAAGGUUGAAACUCAAAGGAAUUGACGGGGGCCCGCACAAGCGGUGGAGCAUGUGGUUUAAUUCGAUUCAACGCGAAGAACCUUACCGGGGUUUGACAUGAUAGUGAAGUAUGCAGAGAUGUAUACGCCUUUCGGGGCGCUAUUACAGGUGCUGCAUGGCUGUCGUCAGCUCGUGUCGUGAGAUGUUGGGUUAAGUCCCGCAACGAGCGCAACCCUUGCCCCUAGUUGCCAGCAAGUAAUGUUGGGGACUCUAGGGGGACUGCCGGUGAUAAACUGGAGGAAGGUGGGGAUGACGUC